UACGUAGGGUGCAAGCGUUGCCCGGAUUUAUUGGGCGUAAAGGGCGCGCAGGCGGCCGAGCACGUCCGUUGUGAAAUCGCCUGGCUCAACUGGGCGGGGUCAGCGGGAUACGGCUAGGCUGGAGCAAGCUAGGGGGGCAAUGGAAUUCCCGGUGUAGUGGUGGAAUGCGUAGAUAUCGGGGAGGAACACCAGUGGCGAAGGCGGUUGCCUGGAGCUUUGCUGACGCUGAGGCGCGAAAGCGUGGGGAGCGAGUCCGG
rnacentral:rRNA from 1 species